UACGGAGGUCUCAAGCGUUGUUCGGAUUCACUGGGCGUAAAGGGUGCGUAGGUGGCCAGGUAAGUUUGGUGUGAAAGCUCGGAGCUUAACUCCGAAAAGUCAUUGAAUACUAUCUGGCUGGAGGGUCGGAGGGGAGACUGGAAUUCUCGGUGUAGCAGUGAAAUGCGUAGAUAUCGAGAGGAACACCAGUGGCGAAGGCGAGUCUCUGGACGAAUCCUGACACUGAGGCACGAAAGCUAGGGGAGCAAACAGG
rnacentral:rRNA from 1 species